rnacentral:rRNA from 1 species
CCUACGGGUGGCAGCAGUGGGGGAUAUUGCACAAUGGGGGGAACCCUGAUGCAGCGACGCCGCGUGGGUGAAGAAGCGCCUCGGCGCGUAAAGCCCUGUCAGAAGGGAAGAAAGUGAAGGUACCUGAAGAAGAAGCCACGGCUAAAUUCGUGCCAGCAGCCGCGGUAAUACGUAGGGGGAAAGCGUGAUCCGGAUCUACUGGGGGGAAAGGGGGAGCAGGCGGGGUUGCAAGCCAGGUGGGAAAGCCCGGGGGCCAACCCCGGGACUGGUGUUGGAACUGGCUGGCUGGAGUGCAGGAGAGGCAGGUGGAAUUCCAGGUGUAGCGGUGAAAUGCGUAGAGAUCAGGAGGAACACCGGUGGCGAAGGCGGCCUUCUGGACUGCAACUGACGUUGAGGCCCGAAAGCGUGGGGAGCAAACAGGAUUAGAUACCCUGGUAGUC